GUAGUUGAACGUGCAUCAUCAUUUCAUAACAUGGCCUUGUUCGCAUUCCUGCUUUUGUUUUUUUUAAAAGAAAGGUUCCAUUGCUUUCAAUUGCAGAUUCUCUUUUUAAAUGACAACCACAAUACCAUGUAUGUCUAUUUGGUUUCUGGGGAAAUUUUGUUGGCGAAACGAGUGGAAGUAGAAUUCUAAUUUCUUGUUAUCUUUACUAUAUUGUUAUAUUCUGCUCCAUUAUCAUUGUUGUUUUUACAGGGACGAAGAAUUGCUGCUGACAAAUUGGAGUAUUCUUGAACUCUUACAACCUCAAAUGGUAAUGUUUGAAAACUCUUCAACUUGUGCGGGGUACCUAGAUUAGUCAAUAUGCAUGUUUUAUAGUAUGCAUAGGUGCAAUGUACCUAGCAUUUACACUUUCAUUAUUUCGGUAGUCAAAUCACAGCUUCAAGUGCAAUUGUUAAAAUUGCUUAUGAAGAAAUUUCAAUUAUUUCUAGUUGGCUUGACAUAUUAUUCUUCUCGUUUUCUUUGCCCUGGUUAUAUCUCGAAGUAGGAUAAAUGUGCAGACCAUUUACUUUAUGUUUUUACAGUAAACCUUUAGUUAAUUUUAGUGGAAGAUGAUAAAUGCAAGUCAUGAAGUUUCGUGGCACAGCUCAGAAUCAAUUACCAGGUCCAUACAGAUGCAAAUUGUUGAUGCACUGCGCUUGGGUGAGAGAAGCAAAGCUUCCAAUCAGCUUUUGAAUCUUGGCCAUGGGAAUGAUUUGUUAAGAGCUGAUGAUUUCGUCUAUAUUCUUAAUUACCGUGCAAAGUCACCUGAUCCAUUGUUUGUCAUGGAGACUUGGAGAAUAAUGGAUGAAAAAGAGAUUAGCCUGAAUAACAUAUGCUCUUUGCUUAUGGUGCAUGCUCUAUGUAAAGGAGGAUAUUUGGAGGAAGUAGGAUUCAUGCUAUAUACUUAAAAGGCAUUUAAGUUGAUAAAUUUCCUUGGAGAAAGUCCUGGUAUCUAUCCAGUUCUACCUAUCUACAACAGUUUCUUAAGGGCUUGUGCCAAAAUGCAGAGUAUAAUAAAUGCCAAUCAGUGUUUGGACUUAAUGGAGCGUCAAAUGGUGGGGAUGGGAAAGAAUGAAGUUACAUAUUCAGAGCUUCUCAAGAUCAGUGCACUACUUUUGGCUUGGGAGUUGGAGAAGAAAAUGUUGGAAUGGAUAUGCUUGAUAUACAUAUUAGCCAGCCUGUUACGAAAAUUUUGAGAUGGUCGUUCAGUGAUGUUAUUCAUCCUUGUGCACGAUUAAGAAAUGGUGGCUUGGCAGAAGAGUUGAUCCUACAGAUGCAAAAAUUUGGGUUGCAACCGUCAAGCCAUACAUAUGAUGGCUUUGUCAGAGCAGUUACUUCUGAGCGAGGUUUCAGUAGUGGAGUGGAAAUUGAAAGUGAUUGGUUUAUUGUAGAGGCCAAUCAUCUUAAAAAGACUGAUCUUGCAAUUGUUGGCAAUGUAUUUUGUGCAUUUUGGUUUUGUUUUUAAUUAGAGAUUUUUGCAACAUUGUUGUUAUCCC